GCCGAGGUGGCGGAACUGGCAGACGCGGCGGCCCUAGGAGCCGCUGGGAGCAAUCCCUUGGGAGUUCAACUCUCCCUCUCGGCACCA
rnacentral:tRNA from 1 species